rnacentral:lncRNA from 1 species
GGGAUGCCAAUGCAGACCACCAUGGUUGAUCUAUAGAGCAACAAGAGAAGGUUAGAGAGCUCACUGGAUUGGCUCCAACCGAGCUACUUAAGUUAAAAAGAAUCUUUGGUAAGAAGUACGGAAAAAGAUGGAAUCAAGAGGAUAGUUGCAAUAAUGCUGAUGUUAGAGAUGCUCUAGAGGGAUUGAGGAUUGAUUAAUUAAUUAUCUUUUAUGGAGAGGUUCCAAGCCUAUUUAUAGUUAAGAUCUCAAAUCUUCGGU